UCGGGAAUUUUGGGCAAUGGGCGAAAGCCUGACCCAGCAACGCCGCGUGAAGGAUGAAGUAUUUCGGUAUGUAAACUUCGAAAGAAUAGGAAGAAUAAAUGACGGUACUAUUUAUAAGGUCCGGCUAACUACGUGCCAGCAGCCGCGGUAAUACGUAGGGACCAAGCGUUGUUCGGAUUUACUGGGCGUAAAGGGCGCGUAGGCGGCAAUUCAAGUCAUCUGUGAAAUCUCCGGGCUUAACUCGGAACGGUCAGAUGAUACUGCUUUGCUAGAGUGCAGAAGGGGCAAUCGGAAUUCUUGGUGUAGCGGUGAAAUGCGUAGAUAUCAAGAGGAACACCUGAGGUGAAGACGGGUUGCUGGGCUGACACUGACGCUGAGGCGCGAAAGCCAGGGGGAGCAAACGGGAUUAGAUACCCUCGUAGUCCCUGAGCGGGCUGGCAAGGCGCAU
rnacentral:rRNA from 1 species